UGAGGCCUACGGGGCGCAGCAGUAGGGAAUCUUCCACAAUGGACGAAAGUCUGAUGGAGCAACGCCGCGUGAGUGAAGAAGGGUUUCGGCUCGUAAAGCUCUGUUGGUAGUGAAGAAAGAUAGAGGGAGUAACUGGCCUUUAUUUGACGGUAAUUACUUAGAAAGUCACGGCUAACUACGUGCCAGCAGCCGCGGGAAUACGUAGGUGGCAAGCGUUGUCCGGAUUUAUUGGG
rnacentral:rRNA from 1 species